rnacentral:rRNA from 1 species
CCUACGGGAGACAGCAGUGAGGAAUAUUGGUCAAUGGACGAGAGUCUGAACCAGCCAAGUAGCGUGAAGGAUGACUGCCCUAUGGGUUGUAAACUUCUUUUAUAUGGGAAUAAAAUGUUCCACGUGUGGGAUUUUGUAUGUACCAUAUGAAUAAGGAUCGGCUAACUCCGUGCCAGCAGCCGUGGUAAUACGGAGGAUCCGAGCGUUAUCCGGAUUUAUUGGGUUUAAAGGGAGCGUAGGUGGAUUGUUAAGUCAGUUGUGAAAGUUUGCGGCUCAACCGUAAAAUUGCAGUUGAAACUGGCAGUCUUGAGUACAGUAGAGGUGGGUGGAAUUCGUGGUGUAGCGGUGAAAUGCUUAGAUAUCACGAAGAACUCCGAUUGCGAAGGCAGUUCACUGGACUGCAACUGACACUGAGGCUCGAAAGUGUGGGUAUCAAACAGGAUUAGAUACCCCUGUAGUC